rnacentral:misc_RNA from 1 species
GUUAUAUUGUAAUGAUGAUAUUAUGAUGUGAUUUGACGUAAAUCUGAAUUUUUAUUUGAUAUUAAUUGAUUAUUACUUAUUUAUUGUAUUAUCUGACGCAACCAUCAUUUGUGACAUUGAAGUGGAGACCGCGUCUUGGCAAACGCAGUGUGGGACGUCCUCCGGCCCGUUGGACCGACGAUCUACGUAAGAUUGCCAGUGUAGGCUGGAUGAGGAUUGCGGAAAACCGGGAUGUCUGGCGCGAACUUGGUGAUGCCUGUGUCCAGCAGUGGACUGCCAUAGG